CUACGGGACGCACCAGUGAGGAAUAUUGCACAAUGGGGGGAACCCUGAUGCAGCAACGCCGCGUGGAGGAUGACGCAUUUCGGUGUGUAAACUCCUUUUAUGUGUCAAGAAAAUGACGGUAGCAUAUGAAUAAGCACCGGCUAACUCCGUGCCAGCAGCCGCGGUAAUACGGAGGGUGCAAGCGUUACUCGGAAUCACUGGGCGUAAAGGACGCGUAGGCGGGUUGGAAAGUCAGGUGUGAAAUCCUACAGCUUAACUGUAGAACUGCACUUGAAACUUCUAAUCUUGAGUAUGGGAGGGGGAGAUGGAAUUAGUGGUGUAGGGGUAAAAUCCGUAGAUAUCACUAGGAAUACCUAAAGCGAAGGCGAUCUCCUGGAACAUUACUGACGCUAAGGCGUGAAAGCGUGGGGAGCAAACAGGAUUAGAUACCCCCGUAGUC
rnacentral:rRNA from 1 species